CAAAAACUUGCUGCGGCCAUUCUUCCUUCUGUCUUGGAGCUGGGGUGCGUCCGCAGGUUGGCUCUGUUCUCCUGGCACUGAAAGACAGCUGUGGAGAAGACCAAGCCCUGUUCAUCGGAGAACUUUUUUCCAGGUGAACCGCCUUCACUGGAUGAUAAAUACAUUUUAAAGAUUAUUGAGUUUUGGAGGAGUCUAGCAGACCUCCAAGAACAAAAAUUACUCUUCGGGAUAA
rnacentral:lncRNA from 1 species